rnacentral:rRNA from 1 species
GACGAACGCUGGCGGCGUGCUUAACACAUGCAAGUCGAACGGUGAAGCGCCUUCCUUUUUGGUGGGUGUGGAUGAGUGGCGAACGGGUGAGUAACACGUGAGUAACCUGCCCCCUUCUUCUGGAUAACCGCAUGAAAUUGUGGCUAAUACGUGAUAUUCUGUGUCUGUCGCAUGAUGGGUCUGGGAAAGGUAUUGUUUCGGUUGGGGAUGGGCUCGCGGUCUAUCAGCUUGUUGGUGGGGUGAUGGACUACCAGGGCGGUGACGGUGAGCCGGCUUGAGAGGGUGGAGGGGCACACUGGGACAGAGACACGGCCGAGACUCCUGAGGGAGGCAGCAGGGGGGAGUAGUGGACGAUGGGCGCAAGGCUGAUGCAGCGACGCCGCGUGAGGGAUGGAGGCCUUCGGGUUGUGAACCUCUUUCGCCAGUGAAGCAGGCCUGCCUCGUCUGUGGGUGGGUUGACGGUAGCUGGAUAAGAAGCGCCGGCUAACUACGUG